UGUCACAUUUUAUCAUCAACACAAGAUUCCUAAGCUCGCAUUAAUUUCGUGACGCAUUUUAGACUAUAUCCCUUGCACUCGCAUUAAAUUCGUGACGCAUUAAUUUCUUGAUUUACAGUAGUCAGUAGAACCACACUUUUCAGCAUUUAUGUCCUGUCUCUGCUGCACGUCUUUGUUCAUUUCCCACCUAUAAGUGUCUUGUUUUUAAGAUUUUGAUCUCCUAGUUAUUGAAGAUUUACAUGUAAUAUCACCAUUCAAGGGCCAUAUCCCCCCUAGAUGUUUUGCUAAGGGAUCACAUUACAGUGAGGUUACCCAUACUGGGAUAAAUAUGAUAACAAGAUGGGCUAAGGACAGUGGUGAGUUUCAGAUGUCACUGCAAGUGUUGUAUUUGUUUUAAAAAGAUAAUAUCAUUUUAGGAAGAUCCAAGAAUAAUGUUGAGACAAGUGAAUGAAUAUUAUGCGAUGACAUUUAGAAUCUUGCAUCCUGUUUCUGAUGAUCCGCCUUGAACAAUAUGCAUGUUAAACUCCUCAAAUCAUUUGGCUCACUGACUGGUACAUUACUCAAUACAUUUGAUAUGUCAAAUUGCUUUCUUUCAGUUUGUGAUGGUAAAAUGUGUUCAGCCUGCUUGAUUUCCAUUUACAAGUUGAAAGCAAGUCAGACUUCCAAGUUUGGCUCCUACACAUGCUACCUGGAUGAUGUAUGAUAACAGCAUGAGGCUGGGGUAGGCAGAAGUCUUUCAACAAUGGUCUUGUGGUUUAUUGCUGGGAUGCACCUGACUAUUGCUGUAGCAGCAUGUACUGAGGAUGCAGUGAUGAGUCUGGCUAUUACUGCUGCAGCAUGUACUGAGGAUGCAGGGAUGAGUCUGGCUAUUGCUGCUGCAGCAUGUACUGAGGAUGCAGUGAUGAGUCUGGCUAUUGCUGCUGCAGCAUGUACUGAGGAUGCAGAGAUGCAUCUGGCUAUUGCUGCAGCAGAUUGUACUGAGGAUGCAGAGAUCCACCUGACUAUUGCUGUGGUAGCAUGUACUGAGGAUGCAGUGAUGCACCUGACUAUUGCUGCGGCAGCGUGUACUGAGGAUGCAGUGAUGCACCUGACUAUUGCUGCAGCAGCGUGUACUGAGGAUGCUGUGAUGCACCUGACUAUUGCUGCAGCAGCGUGUACUGAGGAUGCAGAGAUGCACCUGACUAUUGCUGCAGCAGCGUGUACUGAGGAUGCAGAGAUGCACCUGACUAUUGCUGCAGCAGCGUGUACUGAGGAUGCAGAGAUGCACCUGACUAUUGCUGCAGCAGCGUGUACUGAGGAUGCAGUGAUGCACCUGACUAUUGCUGCAGCAGCGUGUACUGAGGAUGCUGUGAUGCACCUGACUAUUGCUGCAGCAGCGUGUACUGAGGAUGCUGUGAUGCACCUGACUAUUGCUGCGCAGCAGCGUGUACUGAGGAUGCUGUGAUGCACCUGACUAUUGCUGCAGCAGCGUGUACUGAGGAUGCAGAGAUGCAUCUGGCUAUUGCUGCAGCAGCGUGUACUGAGGAUGCAUCUGGCUAUUGCUGCAGCAGCGUGCACUGAGGAUGCAGUGAUGUGUCUGGCUCAUAUGAUAACCAUACACAAAUGUAUGGUGGGACAUGAACUGUUCACCUCAUCUCCAGAUUCAAAUGCAAUAUGGCUGUUCCAUGACUUGGGUCAGGUGUUAGUGUACCAGAACUUUGUCUGUGAACUAUUCGGUCUGCCAUUGGUGUACUUAAUGUGAUGUUAACAUAUCCAGUAGCUACUUCAUAUCACAUUGUAAGUUAUUCCAACAAAUGACUAUUCCACUGCUUACAGUGUGAUUGUAAAUAUAUAAUAAACUUGUUAUAUUAUCAA
rnacentral:misc_RNA from 1 species